CCCUUAGAUGUUCUGGGCUGCACGCGCGCUACACUGAAGCUAUCAACACGUUUUCCCUCCCUGAGAAGGGCGGGUAACCUUUUGAAUCAGCUUCGUGGUAGGGAUCGGGGCUUGCAAUUGUUCCCCGUGAACCAGGAAUUCCUAGUAGACGCGAGUCAUAAGAUCGCAUCGAUUAAGUCCCUGCCCUUUGUACACACCGCCCGUCGCUACUACCGAUUGAACGUUUUAGUGAGGCAUUUGGACCGACGCAUCUCAGUUUAACCGCUGGUUUGUGUUGGAAAGACUUCCAAACUUGAGCGUUUAGAGGAAGUAAAAGUCGUAACA
rnacentral:rRNA from 1 species